UGCAAGUCGGACGAGAAGGUUCCUUCGGGAACUGGAGAGUGGCGCACGGGUGAGUAACGCGUGGGGACCUACCUCUUAGUGGGGGAUAACGGUUGGAAACGACCGCUAAUACCGCAUACGCCCUUCGGGGGAAAGAUUUAUCGCUAAGAGAUGGACCCGCGUUGGAUUAGAUAGUUGGUGAGGUAACGGCUCACCAAGUCAGCGAUCCAUAGCUGGUUUGAGAGGAUGAUCAGCCACACUGGGACUGAGACACGGCCCAGACUCCUACGGGAGGCAGCAGUGGGGAAUAUUGGACAAUGGGGGCAACCCUGAUCCAGCCAUGCCGCGUGAGUGAAGAAGGCCUUCGGGUUGUAAAGCUCUUUCAGAUGCGAAGAUGAUGACGGUAACAUCAGAAGAAGCCCCGGCUAAUUUCGUGCCAGCAGCCGCGGUAAUACGAAAGGGGCUAGCGUUGUUCGGAUUUACUGGGCGUAAAGGGCACGCAGGCGGUCUUGCCAGUCAGGGGUGAAAGCCCGAGGCUCAACCUCGGAACUGCCUCUGAUACUGUAAGACUUGAGAGUAGGAGAGGGUGGUGGAAUUCCCAGUGUAGAGGUGAAAUUCGUAGAUAUUGGGAGGAACACCAGAGGCGAAGGCGGCCACCUGGACUAGAUCUGACGCUCAG
rnacentral:rRNA from 1 species